rnacentral:rRNA from 1 species
AGUGAACGCUGGCGGUAGGCCUAACACAUGCAAGUCGAACGGCAGCACAGGAGAGCUUGCUCUCUGGGUGGCGAGUGGCGGACGGGUGAGGAAUACAUCGGAAUCUACUCUGUCGUGGGGGAUAACGUAGGGAAACUUACGCUAAUACCGCAUACGACCUACGGGUGAAAGCAGGGGACCUUCGGGCCUUGCGCGAUUGAAUGAGCCGAUGUCGGAUUAGCUAGUUGGCGGGGUAAAGGCCCACCAAGGCGACGAUCCGUAGCUGGUCUGAGAGGAUGAUCAGCCACACUGGAACUGAGACACGGUCCAGACUCCUACGGGAGGCAGCAGUGGGGAAUAUUGGACAAUGGGCGCAGGCCUGAUCCAGCCAUACCGCGUGGGUGAAGAAGGCCUUCGGGUUGUAAAGCCCUUUUGUUGGGAAAGAAAUCCAGCUGGCUAAUACCCGGUUGGGAUGACGGUACCCAAAGAAUAAGCACCGGCUAACUUCGUGCCAGCAGCAGCCGUAA